rnacentral:rRNA from 1 species
CUACGGGCGGCUCCAGUUUCGAAUCAUUCACAAUGGGGGCAACCCUGAUGGUGCAACGCCGCGUGGGGGACGAAGGUCUUCGGAUUGUAAACCCCUGUCACACAGGACUAAACGCGAGGUUCAUAGCCUCGCUUGAAUUAACCGUGAGAGGAAGUAGUGGCUAACUCCGUGCCAGCAGCCGCGGUAAUACGGAGACUACGAGCGUUACUCGGAUUCACUGGGCGUAAAGGGAGCGCAGGCGGAAUGAUGUGUUAGGUGUGAAAUCCCGGGGCUUAACUCCGGAAUUGCGCCUAAAACUGUCAAUCUAGAGACUUGGAGAGGUAAGCGGAAUUUCUGGUGUAGCGGUAAAAUGCGUAGAUAUCAGAAGGAACACCGAAGGCGAAGGCAGCUUACUGGACAAGAUCUGACGCUCAUGCUCGAAAGCGUGGGGAGCGAAAGGGAUUAGAUACCCUAGUAGUC